rnacentral:rRNA from 1 species
AUUGAACGCUGGCGGCAGGCCUAACACAUGCAAGUCGAGCGGAGCGGCGGACGGGGGAGGAAUGCCUGGGAAUCUGACUGGGAGUGGGGGAAAACGUCCGGCAACGGGCGCUAAUACAGCAUACUAACAGUUGAGCGUAGGUCGGAUUAGCUAGUUGGUGGGGUAAAGGCCUACAAGGGCUACGAGCCGUAACUGGUCUGAGAGGAUGAUCAGUCACACUGGAACUGAGACACGGUCCAGACUCCUACGUGAGGCAGCAGGCGGGAAUAUUGGCCAAUUGGCGAAAGCCUGAUCCAGCCAUGCCGCGUGUGUGAAGAAGGUCUUCGGAUUGUAAAGCACUUUAAGGUGGGAGGCGUUACCAACAGAAGAAGCACCGGCUAACUUCGUGCCAGCAGCCGCGGUAAUUC